GCAAGUCGAGCGGUAACAGAGAUAGCUUGCUAUCUGCUGACGAGCGGCGGACGGGUGAGUAAUGCUUGGGAACAUGCCUUGAGGUGGGGGACAACAGUUGGAAACGACUGCUAAUACCGCAUAACGUCUACGGACCAAAGUGGGGGACCUUCGGGCCUCACGCCAUAAGAUUAGCCCAAGUGGGAUUAGCUAGUUGGUGAGGUAAUGGCUCACCAAGGCGACGAUCCCUAGCUGGUUUGAGAGGAUGAUC
rnacentral:rRNA from 1 species